rnacentral:rRNA from 1 species
ACGAACGCUGGCGGCGUGCUUAACACAUGCAAGUCAAGGAGAACGUAUUCUUCGGAAUGCUAUUAAACUGGCGAACGGGUGAGUAACGCGUAGGCAACCUGCCCUAGAGAUCGGGAUAACUUGGCGAAAGCUAAGCUAAUACCGGAUAAGACCACAUUUCAUAAGAAAUGCGGGAAAAGGAGUCUCAAUCUCCACUCGAGGAUGAGUUCGCGGACCAUUAGCUUGUUGGUGAGAUAAAAGCUCACCAAGGCUACGAUGGUUAGCCGGCCUGAGAGGGUGAACGGCCACACUGGAACUGAGACACGGUCCAGACUCCUACGGGAGGCAGCAGUGGGGAAUAUUGCGCAAUGGGCGAAAGCCUGACGCAGCAACGCCGUGUGAGCGAUG